rnacentral:tRNA from 1 species
AGGUCCGUAGCUCAAUUGGUAGAGUACCGGUCUCCAAAACCGGGUGUUGCAAGUUCGAGUCUUGCCGGGCCUGCCA